GCAUAAGGUCCGCUGGGAGUAGACCGCAAGGUUAAACUCAAAGAAUUGACGGGGCCCGCACAAGCAGCGGAGCAUGCGGCUUAAUUCGAUGCAACGCGAAGAACCUUACCUAGGCUUGACAUGCAUUGAAAACUGUUAGAGAUAACAGGUCCGCAAGGGCUUUGCACAGGUGGUGCAUGGCUGUCGUCAGCUCGUGUCGUGAGAUGUUGGGUUAAGUCCCGCAACGAGCGCAACCCUCGUCUUGUGUUGCCAACAGGUAAUGCUGGGAACUCACAAGAGACUGCCGGGGUCAACUCGGAGGAAGGUGGGGACGACGUCAAGUCAUCAUGCCCCUUAUGUCUAGGGCUGCACGCAUGCUACAAUGGCCGAUACAAAGGGCUGCGAUACCGUAAGGUGGAGCGAAUCCCAUAAAGUCGGUCUCAGUUCGGAUUGAGGUCUGCAACUCGACCUCAUGAAGUUGGAGUUGCUAGUAAUCGCGGAUCAGCAACGCCGCGGUGAAUACGUUCCCGGGCCUUGUACACACCGCCCGUCACGUCAUGAAAGUCGGUAACACCCAAAAACAGUGGUCCAACCGUAAGGAGGAAGCUGUCUAAGGUGGGAUCGGUGAUUGGGACGAAGUCGUAACAAGGUAACCGUA
rnacentral:rRNA from 1 species